GGCUGGUCCAAAGGUAGUGAGUUAUCUCACUUGAUUGUUCACAGUCAGUUACAGAUUGAACUUCUUGUUCUACUACUUUUCCUCCUUUUCACUACUGCACUUGACAUAGUCCUAA
rnacentral:Y_RNA from 1 species